CAGCCGCGGUAAUUCCAGCUCUCAAGGUGUAUAUCCCUAUUGCUGCGGUUAAAAAGCUCGUAGUUGGAUCUCCGCCUCAGGACGUGGUCCGCCUUUAGGUGUGUACUGCGAUCCUAGGCAGUUACUGCUGGUUUUCAGCCGGUGGCCUUAACUGGUUGCCGGUUGUGGCUAGCGAGUUUACCUUGAGUAAAUCAGAUUGCUCAAGAAAGGCGUUUCGCCUGAAUGUUUGUGCAUGGAAUAAUGGAAUAGGACUUCGGUUCUGUUUUGUUGGUUUUCUGAACUGAAGUAAUGAUUAAGAGGAACAGACGGGGGCAUUCGUAUCGCUGCGUGAGAGGUGAAAUUCUUGGACCGCAGCGGGACGCCCAACAGCGAAAGCAUUUGCCAAGAAUGUUUUCAUUAAUCAAGAACGAAAGUCAGAGGAUCGAAGGCGAUUAGAUACCGCCCUAGUUCUGACCGUAAACGAUACCAACUAGCGAUCCGCCGGUGGUAAUUACGCCCUGGCGGGGAGCUUCCCGGAAACGAAAGU
rnacentral:rRNA from 1 species